AGGCUGUUAAAAAUUUCAUAUACACAUAAACAUAUUUUUAAUUUGAAAAACACAGCCAUUCCUUGGUGUUAGCGGAAUUCAUUAUCACGAGGUGGUUCAGCGUGAUGUGAACUCUAAGCAUAACUCAGAAGAUACCCUACGCGCCUUUCCAACUGAGGUACAUAUAUAACCAGAUUCUGUGCCCCUUUAAUAGGCUGAUCCACAGAACCCGCCCACUGCAGCAAGCUAAACCCACCAUACAAUAAAAAUUCAACAGCAUGACAUGAUAAUUUUAUCAUUAUCCAGCCUAUCAAGGCAAACAACAAUUUAUACAUUUCAACACAAAUACCAAUUCAGUCAUUCAUGCCAAUAUUGUCAUAAGCCAAUCAAUUAGAACCAUAAAUUCACAAUACAUCAAAUGGUUUCCAAUUACUCUAUUUGCAAAGCCAUCAUUCAAUUUCAAGACAAUUUAUAAAAUCAUUUUAUUUAAAAACAUUUUGUUUAUAAAACCUAAAAAUUGACCAUUUAACUCAUUUUCCAUAAAAUUCACAAAGUCGAAUAAAAAGACCACUUUAGGUAAUUAAAAUGAUGAUAAGGUUACUCACUAUUUCGGGAGUCGAAUUUUUAGAGGACUCCGACUAUCGAUCCUCGGGUACGAUUUCUU
rnacentral:lncRNA from 1 species